rnacentral:rRNA from 1 species
CAGUCGCCACGGGAAUACAGAGGGUGCGAGCGUUAAUCGGAUUUACUGGGCGUAAAGCGUGCGUAGGCGGCUUCUUAAGUCGGAUGUGAAAUCCCUGAGCUUAACUUAGGAAUUGCAUUCGAUACUGGGAAGCUAGAGUAUGGGAGAGGAUGGUAGAAUUCCAGGUGUAGCGGUGAAAUGCGUAGAGAUCUGGAGGAAUACCGAUGGCGAAGGCAGCCAUCUGGCCUAAUACUGACGCUGAGGUACGAAAGCAUGGGGAGCAAACAGGAUUAGAUACCCCGGUAGUCCCUGUCUCUUAUAC